rnacentral:lncRNA from 1 species
CCUCCCUCACUGGCAAAUAAGCCACAGAGACUGGGUUUAAACAAAUUGGAUUAGGAGGGCUACAGGCGCCUCCUCCCCCCGACUGUCCGGCUCCGACACUAAACAGACCUGCAGAACUGCCAGCUGUGGUCUCUCGGACACACUGACAGUCGGUCCUUGGCUCCCUCACCCCACCCGUGGGCCUCAGGAAGGGGGUUGGGGUCUGAGAGGAUGCCACAGUGAUGGAUGGGGUGAGGGAGGUUCCAGGGCUAGCUCAACAGCGCACAGGAUGUUAGUGCUUUUGCGAGGCACAUUUCCGAGCUGUUCCCAGACCCGCCCCCACUUCCCCCCUCACCCUCCCCUCCGGCAGCCUCUCCCAUGGCCACUGCUGCGGGCUGUGAGCAGAGCCCCGUCCUUGAGCAGAUUGACCUCAUCUUUCAGUCCUGCAGCUGGGCUGAGCGGGGAGUCAGCUCAGAAGACACUGGCCUGGGGAUGAGACUCGGGGCAUGCUUCAGAGGGAAGAAAGAGCUUCUGAACAGACAAUGCUGUCUUAAAGGUGGCAUCUUGGUGCUUUCUCAUGCCUUGUUUUCUUUCAUCCUCAGAAUGUGUCUGGGGGUGAGAGGACGGGUGUGACUGCUGAAACUUCCUUUCUUGGUGAUUCCACAUCACUCCUUUCUGAUCCCUGAGCCUGUGCCACGCCCUGUGUGAUGUGCCGGGGACACCAGGGCACAUGAAAGUGACUGUGACCCGCAACGGGAGCCUUGACAACCAGCCAAUUCAGAACACAGACCUUGACAUCGGAAGGCCCCGAGUUCAAAUCCUGCCUUGCUCCCUUUCAGCUGGAAAGCUGUGGUCAAAUUACUUAGCCUCUCCAAGCCAGUUUUCCCUUCUGCAAAAUGAGGUUACACAAGCUGCCACCUCACAGAAUGAGUCUCACCCACGCCUCUCCAAGCCUCCCAACAGAAGACAGAGGUCCCCCACAGCCAGAGACAUUUCCUGAAGACAUGGGGAACACAGAGGCAGAAACAGCCCAUCCACCCAGGAGCUGUCCCCCACACUGCCGGGAGCCGGCACCCAGAGCCGCCAGGUAAAACUGAGGCCACCUGGUUCAACAUCACCUUUCACAGAAGGGGAAGCAGCCACAGAAAGAAGGGCCUCGUUAAGAAGUGGAACCUGGGACCCCCAAGCGGUGUCUCUCAUCCUGACUGGGGAUCCAGAGUAGGAGGGAGCCUUUGGUGGGACACAAAGGAACAGAACGAGGCACCAACAGCAAGGGGCAAGCAGAUUCAAGGGCCACAGAGGAGAUGGAGGCAAACACCUUCCCCUGGUCAGAGGCUGUGCCUCAGCCCUUCUCCCUGCAUCAGUUUCUCCUUCAGAAGCAUGGGACUACCUCCCAUCUAGUUCUCGUUUCUAAACCUAGGGGAGAUGCUAUCUUUGCUGCAAUAAUCUUAGCCUACAUCUUGGAAUGGAAAUGGCCUUGGUGGAAAUGGUCUUCAACUCCUCUGGUCCAAGCUCAGGCCCUGUGACCCUGGAACAAUCCCCUUCCUGGUCCUCCAUGUAGGAGCAAUAACAUUCCCUUGCCAGCAGCACCAGCCAUUCUGAUGAUUAAAUGGUAUCGGACUCUGUUUUCCAAACUCAGUCAUUCAGAUGCCCCCUAUUUUAUUUCUUCCAUGUCUGCAAAUGAUUAUAAUAUUUUUAAAUGUAGGAUGAGUCCUUUUUAUUACACAUAGAAAUAGCUACUGUAAAUAGCAAACUCUAACACUGUGCCUAAUUAGGAAAUAAAGGUAACCAUAAAUACAGUAAAAAUGAAACAAUGUUAUUAUGGUUUAACCUGAUAGUGUGGCUUGCAAGGCCCUGGGCCUGAAGCCUGGGCAAUAAGUGAGAGUUAGAAAGGUGUCAAAGACAUGAUAGCAGCAAACUGAGGCUUUGUACCCCACGGUAAAUAGGACUGAAAGCAAAUUCACAGGGAGCAACUGAUCCAUUCCACAACAGAAUGCUCCCUGUCAAUUCGCUUUCCAUUCUGUUGUGUCCUGUCUCCCAGCAGAGACUACAAACUCCCCAAAACCACUUACCCACCAGCUGCACGUGAGAAGCCAAAGGUAGUUUAUGUGAAAGGGCUUUGGAAAUAAUCACGCACCAAGUGAAGGCAGAGGACACACCUUGUCAGCUUAGUUCUCAGCAGCAAAUCAUCUCUUUUCCAGGAUAACCCUCCCUGAUUCUUAUUGAAAUCUCUUUGCUGACCACACUAAGCUCUUCUCUCUCAGGGGCAGUGGGAGCCGUGGAGAGUGGAAUAGACCAGCUGUCUGUGACCUGCGAGGGAGUCCAAUGUCGGAAUCACUCCCCAGCCAAAUGCACGGUUUUAAAAAAUCUAUUUAUUUAUU